GAUGAACGCUGGCGGCGUGCCUAAUACAUGCCAGUAGAACGCUGAAGGAAGGAGCUUGCUCUUUCCGGAUGAGUUGCGAACGGGUGAGUAACGCGUAGGUAACCUGCCUGGUAGCGGGGGAUAACUAUUGGAAACGAUAGCUAAUACCGCAUAACAGUAGAUGUUGCAUGAUAUCUACUUAAAAGGUGCAAUUGCACCACUACCAGAUGGACCUGCGUUGUAUUAGCUAGUUGGUGAGGUAACGGCUCACCAAGGCGACGAUACAUAGCCGACCUGAGAGGGUGAUCGGCCAAACUGGGACUGGGACACGGCCCAGACUCCUACGGGAGGCAGCAGUAGGGAAUCUUCGGCAAUGGGCGGAAGUCUGACCGAGCAACGCCGCGUGAGUGAAGAAGGUUUUCGGAUCGUAAAGCUCUGUUGUAAGAGAAGAACGAGUGUGAGAGUGGAAAGUUCACACUGUGACGGUAUCUUACCAGAAAGGGACGGCUAACUACGUG
rnacentral:rRNA from 1 species